rfam:Daphnia pulex DAPPTscaffold_4059_Cont15335, whole genome shotgun sequence.
GCAGUUGUGGCCGAGUGGUUAGGGCGAUAGACUAGAAAUCUUUUCCUCUCUGAGGGCGUAAGUUCGAACGCUACCAACUGCG